AAAAUGUGAUAAUUGAUGUGAAUUGCAGACUAUGAGAAUCAUCGAAACUUUGAACGCUAAUGUGCCUUCAAAUUUUUUGAAGGCGGGCCUAUUUGAGUGUCGACCUUAUUUCUUACCCUAAAAAAUAAAAGGGUAAAUCUUGGCUCUCUUGAAAGCUGUUUUUAGCAUUUAAGUCUGCUCAAAUUCAAGCUAAUUUACUUGCUGCUUAGUUUGCUCUAGCUAGGCUAUUAUAUGGCAUACAAGGGCUAAACGUGGGCAAUUAAGCAAGUAAUUUUAACUUAGUUUUUUCAGCUUAGCAAAUUUUUUUUUUGCUUUACCUUUUUCGACCUCAGAUUAGACCAGACUACCCGCUGAAUUUAA
rnacentral:misc_RNA from 1 species